rnacentral:rRNA from 1 species
AAUGAACGUUGGCGGCGUGGAUUAGGCAUGCAAGUCGAGCGAGAUCUGUAGCAAUACAGUGAAAGCGGCGAAAGGGAGAGUAAUACGUAGGUACCUGCCCUCGGGUCUGGGAUAGCUGCGGGAAACUGCAAUUAAUACCAGAUGACGUCUGAGGACCAAAGGUGUGAUUCCGCCAGGGGAUGGGCCUGCGUCCUAUCAGCUAGUUGGUGUGGUAAAGGCGCACCAAGGCAAAGACGGGUACGGGGUGUGAGAGCAUGCCCCCGCUCACUGGGACUGAGACACUGCCCAGACACCUACGGGUGGCUGCAGUCGAGAAUCUUCCGCAAUGGGCGAAAGCCUGACGGAGCGACGCCGCGUGUGGGAUGAAGGCCUUCGGGUUGUAAACCACUGUCAGUGGGGAGCAAAUGGCUAGGGGUUCUCCCCUAGUCUUGAUCGAUCCGCAGAGGAAGCACAGGCUAAUUCCGUGCCAGCAGCCGCGGUAACAC